UACGUAGGGUGCGAGCGUUGUCCGGAAUUAUUGGGCGUAAAGGGCUCGUAGGCGGUUUGUCGCGUCGGGAGUGAAAUCCACUGGCUUAACUGGUGGCUUGCUUUCGAUACGGGCAGACUGGAGGUAUGCAGGGGAGAACGGAAUUCCUGGUGUAGCGGUGAAAUGCGUAGAUAUCGGGAGGAACACCAGUGGCGAAGGCGAUCUUCUGGACGGAUACUGACGCUGAGGCGCGAAAGCUAGGGGAGCAAACGGG
rnacentral:rRNA from 1 species